rnacentral:rRNA from 1 species
AUGGCCAACAGCAACCUCCCCCGCCGGAUCAUCAAGGAGACGCAGCGGCUGCUCAGCGAGCCAGCGCCGGGGAUCAGCGCCUCACCGUCGGAGGAGAACAUGCGCUACUUCAAUGUCAUGGUCCUUGGCCCCGCGCAGUCUCCCUACGAAGGUGGAGUCUUCAAGCUUGAACUUUUCUUACCCGAGGAAUAUCCGAUGGCUGCUCCUAAAGUUAGGUUUCUCACAAAAAUAUACCAUCCCAACAUUGACAAGCUUGGUAGAAUAUGCCUCGACAUCCUAAAGGACAAGUGGAGUCCAGCUCUUCAGAUACGCACUGUUCUUCUGAGCAUUCAGGCACUGCUGAGCGCCCCAAACCCAGAUGAUCCUCUCUCAGAAAACGUCGCAAAACACUGGAAAUCCAAUGAAGCUGAAGCUGUUGAGACAGCGAAGGAAUGGACUCGUAUGUAUGCCAGUGGCGCAUGA